rnacentral:rRNA from 1 species
GAUGAACGCUGGCGGCGUGCCUAAUACAUGCCAGUCGAGCGAACAGACGAGGAGCUUGCUCCUCUGACGUUAGCGGCGGACGGGUGAGUAACACGUGGAUAACCUACCUAUAAGACUGGGAUAACUUCGGGAAACCGGAGCUAAUACCGGAUAAUAUAUUGAACCGCAUAGUUCAAUAGUGAAAGACGGUUUUGCUGUCACUUAUAGAUGGAUCCGCGCCGCAUUAGCUAGUUGGUAAGGUAACGGCUUACCAAGGCAACGAUGCGUAGCCGACCUGAGAGGGUGAUCGGCCACACUGGAACUGAGACACGGUCCAGACUCCUACGGGAGGCAGCAGUAGGGAAUCUUCCGCAAUGGGCGAAAGCCUGACGGAGCAACGCCGCGUGAGUGAUGAAGGUCUUCGGAUCGUAAAACUCUGUUAUUAGGGAAGAACAAAUGUGUAAGUAACUAUGCACGUCUUGACGGUACCUAAUCAGAAAGCCACGGCUAACUACGUG